rnacentral:lncRNA from 1 species
GCCAUCUUUUUUUUGGGCGAUAUGACAUUAAUCGUGAAUAGACUGCAAACUUUUGAUAUUAUGCUGUUGUUCAAAUUUAGUACAUUGUCAGAUAUGAUCCUUUUGGCGUUCCAUACUGACAUAUGAUUUUUCACGAAUUUGCUAACUGUCGACUUUGUGACAUUGACAUAUGAAGCAGCUUCCAUUCAUUUAGUAAAGUAACUGACGAUCAC